UUUCUCCCAGUCUAGGGGUUGUCUCUUCACUCUAUAAAUUGUCUGCUAGGCAGGAAUAUUUUAGGUUGAUGCUAUUCCAAUGGUCUAUUUUUGCUUUUAGUUAUCUCACCAGGAGACCAAAACUAUGUUUUGCAUGUUCUUGAGCUCUUGAUUCCAGGAAGAAAAAAAUCAUCUGUGGUAUCUUCUUCCACAGGGUCCCACAGUCUUCGUUAUAACCUAAAAAUGAGAUCCCAGAACAACUUAGUGCACAGACAGUUCUUUGCUGAGGGUCUUUUGGAUGAUCAGCCCUUCCUGCACUGUGACAGUGAGAGAGACAGGGCAGAGCCUCAGGCACUAUGAGCAAAGACAGUCCUGGGAGCCGAGACCUGGAACACAGAGACCCAAGACUUGGCAGGGAGUGGGAAAAACCUCAGAAUGACUCUGG
rnacentral:lncRNA from 1 species